UUAUGGCAAGCAAAUCAAUCUAGACCGUCGGAUGGCAUUAGGUUUAUUUUCCUUCCCUGCAUCCUUUUUGUUCCACGCCAUGUUGUUUCCUGCCGCCGCCACCUCUUAUUCCCGCCUCUUCUGUUCCUUGUGCUUCCGCCUCCUGCUCUUCCCAAUAGGUGCCAUUGAUUUCUAAUCCAAGCAUUUGUGCCAUGGGUUACUGGUUCCUAUCGCCGCAGCGCGAUAAGGAUCUAGGGAACAGAACGGGAGAGAGGGAGCGUGCAAGGGGAUAACAAGAGAAAGAUUAGGAUUUGUUUAUUUACUCCUAAGCUCGUUCGUCUCUUGUAGUGAAUCCUUUAGCUGACCAUUCUGACCACUCAAUUUUGGUUA